GUGGGUUUAGCUCAGCUAGGAGAGCGUCAGACUGAAGUAAAACUUCAAUCGCAGCGAGGUUCGCCUCCCCAAGAUUAUCUGAAGGUCAUGUGUUAGAUCCACAUAAACCGCA